ACCACCAUGGUGAUUUGCAAGCAAGUCACUACGCUUUGGUGUCACACUAUCUGAAUUUUUAAUUCAGUGAUAAAAGAUUUUUGAACAUAGUCAAGUACUUAUGAAGUCAGUGUGUGAGUCAAGAUGGAAUUGCCCUCUCUAAAUAAGGAGUUAAUUUAUCAACAUGUUUUAAUUUAGUAAAAUCUCAGCCGAGGUAAUCCAUAAGAUGGAUUUGGAAAAACUGAAAUGUGGAUGACUAUAUCAGGAUUGAC
rnacentral:lncRNA from 1 species